UCCGACUUGGAGCCGGCAGUCUCUUAUGAAAAAUUCAACAUAAGACAUGGGUUGCGCUCGUUUACGGACUUAACCGAACACCUCAAGGCACGAGCUGACGACAACCAUGCAGCACCUGUCACCGAGUUCCUUGCGGCACAAUCGCCUUUCGGCAAUCUUCUCGGGAUGUCAAGUCUUGGUGAGGUUUUUCGCUUGUUGUCGAAUUAAACCAGAUGCUCCACCGCUUGUGCGGGUCCCCGUCUAUUCCUUUGAGUUUUAAUCUUGCGAUCGUACUACCCAGGCGGAUUACUUAUCGCGUUAGCUUAGACACCGAAGGGGUCGAAUCCUCCGACAUCGAGUAAUCAUAGUUUAGGGCGUGGACUAC
rnacentral:misc_RNA from 1 species